AAAGCAUGACGGGGAUAAGUUAACAGAUUAUUAAACCUUUCCCAUGCCUCAGAAAAUGACUCAUCAAGUUGUUGUUCAAAUUGCAUGAUUUUGUCUCUGAGAGU